rnacentral:misc_RNA from 1 species
GAUGAAGAACGCAGCGAAAUGCGAUACGUAAUGUGAAUUGCAGAGUUCAGUGAAUCAUCGAGUCUUUGAACGCACAUUGCGCCCCCUGGUAUUCCGGGGGGCAUGCCUGUCCGAGCGUCAUUGCUGCCCUCAAGCACGGCUUGUGUGUUGGGCCUCCGUCCUCCUCCCGGGGGACGGGCCCGAAAGGCAGCGGCGGCACCGCGUCCGGUCCUCGAGCGUAUGGGGCUUCGUCACCCGCUCUUGUAGGCCCGGCCGGCGCUUGCCGACACAUCAAUCUUUUUUCCAGGUUGACCUCGGAUCAGGUAGGGAUACCCGCUGAACUUAAGCAUAUCAAUAAGCGGAGGA